rfam:Candidatus Aenigmarchaeota archaeon CG1_02_38_14 cg1_0.2_scaffold_839_c, whole genome shotgun sequence.
GGGUCCGUAGCUCAGUUUGGAUAGAGCGGCAGCCUUCUAAGCUGAAGGUCGUGGGUUCGAAUCCCAUCGGGCCCA